UAAGCCUGUGAAGGUGUGUCGUGAGGCAUGCUGGAGGUAUCAGAAGUGCGAAUGCUGACAUAAGUAACGAUAAAGCGGGUGAAAAGCCCGCUCGCCGGAAGACCAAGGGUUCCUGUCCAACGUUAAUCGGGGCAGGGUGAGUCGACCCCUAAGGCGAGGCCGAAAGGCGUAGUCGAUGGGAAACGGGUUAAUAUUCCCGUACUUGGUGUUACUGCGAAGGGGGGACGGAGAAGGCUAUGUUGGCCGGGCGACGGUUGUCCCGGUUUAAGCGUGUAGGUGUGUGUUCCAGGUAAAUCCGGUUCACUUUAACACUGAGGCGUGACGACGAGGCACUACGGUGCUGAAGCAACAAAUGCCCUGCUUCCAGGAAAAGCCUCUAAGCAUCAGGUAACAUCAAAUCGUACCCCAAACCGACACAGGUGGUCAGGUAGAGAAUACCAAGGCGCUUGAGAGAACUCGGGUGAAGGAACUAGGCAAAAUGGUGCCGUAACUUCGGGAGAAGGCACGCUGACACGUAGGUGAAGUGAUUUACUCAUGGAGCUGAAGUCAGUCGAAGAUACCAGCUGGCUGCAACUGUUUAUUAAAAACACAGCACUGUGCAAACACGAAAGUGGACGUAUACGGUGUGACGCCUGCCCGGUGCCGGAAGGUUAAUUGAUGGGGUCAGCGCAAGCGAAGCUCCUGAUCGAAGCCCCGGUAAACGGCGGCCGUAACUAUAACGGUCCUAAGGUAGCGAAAUUCCUUGUCGGGUAAGUUCCGACCUGCACGAAUGGCGUAAUGAUGGCCAGGCUGUCUCCACCCGAGACUCAGUGAAAUUGAACUCGCUGUGAAGAUGCAGUGUACCCGCGGCAAGACGGAAAGACCCCGUGAACCUUUACUAUAGCUUGACACUGAACAUUGAGCCUUGAUGUGUAGGAUAGGUGGGAGGCUUUGAAGUGUGGACGCCAGUCUGCAUGGAGCCGACCUUGAAAUACCACCCUUUAAUGUUUGAUGUUCUAACGUGGACCCGUGAUCCGGGUUGCGGACAGUGUCUGGUGGGUAGUUUGACUGGGGCGGUCUCCUCCUAAAGAGUAACGGAGGAGCACGAAGGUUGGCUAAUCCUGGUCGGACAUCAGGAGGUUAGUGCAAUGGCAUAAGCCAGCUUGACUG
rnacentral:rRNA from 1 species